UACGGAGGGAGCUAGCGUUGUUCGGAAUUACUGGGCGUAAAGCGCGCGUAGGCGGCUUUGUAAGUUAGAGGUGAAAGCCCGGGGCUCAACCCCGGAACUGCCUUUAAGACUGCAUCGCUUGAAUCCAGGAGAGGUGAGUGGAAUUCCGAGUGUAGAGGUGAAAUUCGUAGAUAUUCGGAAGAACACCAGUGGCGAAGGCGGCUCACUGGACUGGUAUUGACGCUGAUGUGCGAAAGCGUGGGGAUCAAACAGG
rnacentral:rRNA from 1 species